CCCGUUUACAUUCUUCCUCUGGCGGAGGCGGGAGGGUCGCUUGAAGCCUCGGAUUUCGAGAUCAGCCAGGACAAAAAAGCGAGACCCCCGUUUCUACCAAAAAGGGGGGGGGGUGGGCGGGGGGAAGAGAGAGAGAGAGAGAAAGGAAAAGAAAGAGAAAGAAAAGAAAGAAAAACUAGGCGCGGUCACGUGUACGUGUAGUUCCAGCUGCUCGGAGGUUGAGGCGGGAGGAUCUCUUGAGCCCAGAAGUUCGAGGCCGCAAUGAGCUCUGAUCGUGGCAGAGCGAGGCCCUGGCUCAAAUACAUACAUACUUUGUUCUGACUUUGUGUGCCCUUACUCUUUCCUCAGGUGCACGCUUGGGCUCGUUACUGCUCAGAAUUUUAGAAUCACAGAUCCAGCAGUGAUCAGGCAGCUGCAGCUGUCAGGGACCACCACCACCUACGCGAUUGAUCCGUGGGAGAAGCCGUCCUACUCUUUUCUUUCUCCUUUGUCCUUCUCAUUCCUGACCCCUUCAGGAUUCUCAGUCUUCCCUCCGGGAGG
rnacentral:lncRNA from 10 species